rnacentral:RNase_P_RNA from 1 species
CAGACAAUCGCUGAAUUUCAGAGGAAAGUCCAUGCUCGCACAUCCUGCGACGGAUGUAGUGUUUAUGCCAAGUGAAACGAUAAGCUUGGGCAGUUUCGGCUGACGGCUGGCAAAAGUCCUAAAGAGCGAUCCACGGAUGGAGCCUGUAAAAGUGUCAAAGAGACGAGUCUUAUAGAAAUGUAAGAGUGGAACGUGAUAAACCCCAUAAGCGAGAAACCCAAAUUUUGGUAGGGGAACUUGCAAUAGUGAAAUGAAACGAUUUGCGAGGCACCUUGGUGCAGAUAAAUGAUUGUCCAGUACAGAACAUGGCUUAUUG